rnacentral:rRNA from 1 species
UACAGAGGGGGCGAGCGUUGUUCGGAAUUACUGGGCGUAAAGGGCGCGUAGGCGGCCUUCUAAGUCGAACGUGAAAUCCCCGGGCUCAACCCGGGAACUGCGUCCGGAUACUGGGAGGCUUGAAUCCGGGAGAGGGAUGUGGAAUUCCAGGUGUAGCGGUGAAAUGCGUAGAUAUCUGGAGGAACACCGGUGGCGAAGGCGGCAUCCUGGACCGGGUAUUGACGCUGAGGCGCGAAAGCCAGGGGAGCAAACGGG